CAUACCCAAAUUUCUAUUUCAUGUGCUACAGUCAAAUCUCACUCAUACACACUAUAAGGGCAAAUUAUGUAGCAGAGAGCUUGGCUACAUAAUAUGCAAACAUUAGGUGACAAAGAUUUGAAAAAGAUUAAUGAAUGAAUGUAGAAAUGGUAACAGACAGUUGAAAUCAUUGUCUAGCUAAUGCAGGGGUUUCAAACACCAAAA